rnacentral:rRNA from 1 species
GAGGAGAAUCGGAGUAACUCCAACCCCUGUGACAUACCUUAUGUUGCCUCGGCGGAUCAGCCCGCGCCCCGUAAAAAGGGACGGCCCGCCGCAGGAACCCUAAACUCUGUUUUUAGUGGAACUUCUGAGUAUAAAAAACAAAUAAAUCAAAACUUUCAACAACGGAUCUCUUGGUUCUGGCAUCGAUGAAGAACGCAGCAAAAUGCGAUAAGUAAUGUGAAUUGCAGAAUUCAGUGAAUCAUCGAAUCUUUGAACGCACAUUGCGCCCGCCAGUAUUCUGGCGGGCAUGCCUGUUCGAGCGUCAUUUCAACCCUCAAGCCCAGCUUGGUGUUGGGAGCUGCAGUCCUGCUGCACUCCCCAAAUACAUUGGCGGUCACGUCGAGCUUCCAUAGCGUAGUAAUUUACACAUCGUUACUGGUAAUCGUCGCGGCCACGCCGUUAAACCCCAACUUCUGAAUGUUGACCUCGGAUCAGGUAGGAAUACCCGCUGAACUUAAGCAUAUCAAUAAGCGGAGGAA